rnacentral:rRNA from 1 species
CCUACGGUGAGCAGCAGUAGGGAAUAUUGCUCAAUGGGGGAAACCCUGAAGCAGCAACGCCGCGUGGAGGAUGAAGGUUUUCGGAUUGUAAACUCCUUUUGUUAGAGAAGAUAAUGACGGUAUCUAACGAAUAAGCACCGGCUAACUCCGUGCCAGCAGCCGCGGUAAUACGGAGGGUGCAAGCGUUACUCGGAAUCACUGGGCGUAAAGAGCGCGUAGGCGGGAUAGCAAGUCAGAUGUGAAAUCCUAUGGCUUAACCAUAGAACUGCAUUUGAAACUGUUAUUCUAGAGUAUGGGAGAGGUAAGUGGAAUUCUUGGUGUAGGGGUAGAAUGCGUAGAGAUCAAGAGGAAUAC